rnacentral:tRNA from 1 species
AAAUAAGAAACAAUAAUUUGUAUUUAGUUUCGACCUAAAAUUUUGUCCUAAAUAGACCUUAUUUA